UACGGAGGAUUCGAGCGUUGUCCGGAUUUAUUGGGCGUAAAGCGAGCGCAGGUGGUUUAUUAAGUCUGGUGUAAAAGGCAGUGGCUCAACCAUUGUAUGCAUUGGAAACUGGUAGACUUGAGUGCAGGAGAGGAGAGUGGAAUUCCAUGUGUAGCGGUGAAAUGCGUAGAUAUAUGGAGGAACACCGGUGGCGAAAGCGGCUCUCUGGCCUGUAACUGACACUGAGGCUCGAAAGCGUGGGGAGCAAACGGG
rnacentral:rRNA from 1 species